UACGGAGGGUGCAAGCGUUAUCCGGAUUCACUGGGUUUAAAGGGUGCGUAGGCGGGCAGGUAAGUCCGUGGUGAAAUCUCUGAGCUUAACUCAGAAACUGCCAUGGAUACUAUCUGUCUUGAAUGUUGUGGAGGUAAGCGGAAUAUGUCAUGUAGCGGUGAAAUGCUUAGAUAUGACAUAGAACACCCAUGCGAAGGCAGCUUCUACACAAUUUAUUGACGCUGAGGCACGAAAGCGUGGGGAUCAAACAGG
rnacentral:rRNA from 1 species